CCAGCGCUGUCGAGACCUCCCCACCCCAGCAUCUAGAUGCUAGCCCCCGGAGAUUUUAGAAUAUCAAAAAAGAUACCUAAUGUUUAGACACCCCCCAAUACCCUAUGUUUGAACCAAAUGGCCGGUGUUUGAACCACAUGCCUUAGGCUUCAAAGAUAACUUUGAGGCUGUUUUAGCGCGAAAAAAUACGACACCACUCGAGUCAUACGGCUACAAAAGCUAAGCAAAACAGGUCCCCCUGUUAGCUUCGUUUUAGCGCAUUUACCCUACAGCAUUCCCCCAGGAAUAGUUAUCGGACGGACCCCGUUAAAAAAGAUCAUCUGGGAAAAACCUCCUCAUGGAUAUUUCUCAAGAUUCUCAAACCUUCACUCAGAUUCUCCGAGAUAUAACUGAACUCGAACCGGCCGUAGGGUCUCCGGAACAAAUUGCUUACAUCCCAACGCCGACCCUGAAUUGUACGGAAAUACAUCCUAGAACGGGUGCCAUAGGGAGUCUACACGGUUUCUGUGAAGGAUAUGCCUACGAGACAAUUGUGCCCUACUCCCAGGAUGUAUUUACACACAAGCCGCAAACAGAGACUUUAAACGGCCUGUCAACUCCCCUGACCCAGGACCGUUGGACGCCCCCUAUUAAAC